CAGUCGCCGCGGUAAUACGAAGGGUGCAAGCGUUAAUCGGAAUUACUGGGCGUAAAGCGUGCGCAGGCGGUUAUAUAAGACAGAUGUGAAAUCCCCGGGCUCAACCUGGGAACUGCAUUUGUGACUGUAUAGCUAGAGUACGGCAGAGGGGGAUGGAAUUCCGCGUGUAGCAGUGAAAUGCGUAGAUAUGCGGAGGAACACCGAUGGCGAAGGCAAUCCCCUGGGCCUGUACUGACGCUCAUGCACGAAAGCGUGGGGAGCAAACAGGAUUAGAUACCCCUGUAGUCCCUGUCUCUUAUAC
rnacentral:rRNA from 1 species